rnacentral:lncRNA from 1 species
UUGAAGGCUUUUGGGUCUGCUAUUGCCACUUGGCUCGGCCUUCAUCUUUGCCUAGUCCCACUGAUCUACAUCUCUUCAAGGAGGGAAUCCGUCCUCUAUGGGAGGUCAAGUCAUAAGCCUAACCUUGUGAUGUGUUUUGGUUACCUGUUGUUUUGGUUGAUAACUGCUGACAAAUAUUCUUAUUUUUAUGCUAAGCACAAGUAGUUUUAACAUUUUAUCUAUCAGGAUUCUGCAAACUCCAAUGGAGGCAAGUGGAUAAUACGAUUCAAAAAAGUUGUCUCUGGUCGCUUUUGGGAGGACAUGGUAAGAGAAAAAGCUGAAAUGAAUAUGUUUGUUGUUUGCAAUAUCUUUGCCCUUUGCUAUUGCCUUUGACAAUUUAGUGUUGCUUGAAAGUUUGCUUCAUUUGUUGUUAAGAUUUUGGUUCACCUCAGUAUUCCCUAUUUGUCCGACUGUUGCAGUUUUUGGAAUCCCCAGUGAUGUGCAUACCAACUUACUUUGCAUCACUAUUUUAUUUUGACACUUGCACUUGCUGCAUUAUAUUUCAACUGAUUUAGAUUAUUUUAUCUAGAAUUUCAUAUAGAACUAGUCAAAACCUCUACCUGUGGGUGCUUGAUUAUAUGGCAGAAAGAUGCUGCGUGGUAGGUACUGUUUACAGUUUUGACGCUGGGUAAAUUUCUGUACUAGUUAGAUGCAUUCCACGUCACAUUUUAGUUGCAUCAUGUGGCCCUCUUUUAGUCCACGCUCAGGAAAAUUGUAAGGUUUAACCACUAUAGUGUUGGCUUUUCCACUAAAUUAGAAAUGCUGGAAUGGAUCUUUAUUAUUUACUUUCACAUGCAAAUGCAGGUGCUUGCCUUAGUGGGUGACCAACUUGAUUAUGGUGAUAACAUAUGCGGUGCAGUACUAAGCAUUCGUUUUAAUGAAGAUAUACUGAGUGUUUGGAAUCGUAAUUCCUCUGAUCAUCAGGUCUGCAAUUACUGUUUACUAAUUAUUCUGUUCCCUCCUUUGGUGCACUCUAUGCAACAACCCUUAUUAUUGCUUUUAUGUUACAUUAGGCUGUGAUGGCUCUAAGGGAUUCGAUCAAAAGGCACUUAAAGCUUCCCCACAGCUACGUUAUGGAAUACAAGCCCCAUGAUGCGUCUUUGCGUGACAACUCAUCAUAUAGAAACACAUGGUUGAGAGGAUAAAAGUAUCAGCGGUUAUGAAGCUGGAUGAGCAAUUGAAAUGUAGAGGGUCCUUUCCGGGUCCCUGCUUCAUACUUCUAGUUCAUUCCCUGAUCACGCGAUCCUUCGGAUGUCAA